rnacentral:rRNA from 1 species
GGCAGCCGCCGCGGUAACACCGGCGGCCCGAGUGGUGAUCGUGAUUAUGGGUCUAAAGGGUCCGUAGCCGGUUUGGUCAGUCCUCCGGGAAAUCUGAUAGCUCAACUAUUAGGCUUUCGGGGGAUACUGCCAGACCUGGAACCGGGAGAGGUAAGAGGUACUACAGGGGUAGGAGUGAAAUCUUGUAAUCCCUGUGGGACCACCUGUGGCGAAGGCGUCUUACCAGAACGGGUUCGACGGUGAGGGACGAAAGCUGGGGGCACGAACCGGAUUAGAUACCCGGGUAGUCCCAGCCGUAAACGAUGCUCGCUAGGUGUCAGGCAUGGCGCGACCGUGUCUGGUGCCGCAGGGAAGCCGUGAAGCGAGCCACCUGGGAAGUACGGCCGCAAGGCUGAAACUUAAAGGAAUUGGCGGGGGAGCACAACAACGGGUGGAAGCCUGCGGUUUAAUUGGACUCAACGCCGGACAACUCACCGGGGGCGACAGCAAUAUGUAGGCCAAGCUGAAGACUUUGCCUGAAUCGCUGAGAAGAGGUGCAUGG